UAGAAGAUAUUGUCCACAUACAACAUCAGGCAAAUGCAUAUGAACAUUCAGUAUGGCAACAGAGAGGUGUUACUAGAGACACACACGGUGUAUGGCGCUCAAAUGAAGGACACAUGAUUACACCUGCCGCACUUCUCACCGUCCUUAUUUCAGAUGCGCAUGGGUUUGAACAUUGCGCGAAGGGAGAAAUCAUGAGGAAGAUAAAACAGCAAGGAUACUGGUCUCCGUACUUACAGGCAAUGGUGGAUAAUUUUUGGUCUGAAUGUGAAAUUUGUGCUCAAAAUAAUGCCAGAAAGGGAACAUCGGCACCAAUAGGGCUCAUACCGGUACUAGAAGGGCCUUUCAAACACCUGGUGACUACAUAGAUAUGGUAAAAAGCGUAAAACGAAAAAGGUAUAUGCUGGUAGUAAUAGACAGAUUUAGCAGAUGGGUAGAGGCAACCCCAUCAGCAGACCAAGCUGUGGGGACAGUGAUUAAAUUUUUGACCAAAGAGGUAAUUCCCAGAUUUGGCAUACCAUCUCAGAUUAGCUCUGACAACAGCUCAGCUUUUGUUCAAAAAACAGUGAAAACAGUGUUACAGUAACUGAAUAAAGUAGAGAUUCGGAUGUGUUUAUCACUCUCAUUCACAGGGAAUGGUGGAAAAGGUAAGUAUUACCUUUAAGGCUAAGCUUAACAACAUUUGUGCCGACACUAAACUCGUUUGGGUAGAUGCUCUACCUCUUGUACUAAUGAACUAUCGCAUACAGACUAUCAGAAUUACAUAUCAAACACCGCAUGAAAUGCUUAUGGGUCGACCUAUGUCUGUGCCAUAUCUGAGAGGUCCUUAUGAAGGACUGCCGCUGGAGUAAUUGCAGAUGGAACUGAGAGCAUGUAUGAAAUAACUAACUGCUAUGUAUAAAGCUAUCUAUUCACAGGAACAGAGCAGGGGACCGAGAGUGGAGACAAAUGUUCCAUAGUCAAAUGCUCCAGUGGCUCCUGGAGAACAGGUGUACCUAGUGGUGCUCAAGCUCAGAAGGGAAGGGCCAUACAAGGUUGGCCACCUAAGCCAGAUGAGAUCUCAGAACAACUGCAGCAGGAUGAAACAUAUUCCAGUUCCACAAGUGAGGACAAAGAAGAAUGAUGAGCCAUGCCCUGGGUCUAAACACGCUUCUAAAUGAACCUGGUGCAGAACCAGGUGAUUUCUGGUGAUUUCUUCUACUGGUAACAGGAGUUCAGGAAACCAGGUUAAUGGUGAUAUGGAGUACUACUUCCAAGAUGGAGACACCAAAACACCAGCAGCCUUCCUGAAUGAGCUUACACCUGUAUUGGGGAAUGUCCUGAUAUGUAUUCGUCUAGUUUUUAAGUACUUGACCAGAGUACCUAGUGAGGCUGAUGUUCUCAAUGCUGCUAAUGCUCUGCUGGACUCAAAGAUCAGAAGAGCACAAGCUAUUGAUACACAAACACUGAGUGAUCCUGUGAGCAUACAGAAUGUCAUCUAUGAAAAAAUUGGCAACAACUCCUACAUUAUAAUCUUUGCAUUUCAAAUUAGCAAUGUGACCACCUCCAAGGACCUUCAGCUUAGGAACGGAACAUAUGAUUUAAUCCAAGACACCAUCAACAGCCUGGGUCAUGGGGAUCCUGGAGCCUAUCCCAGGGAGCAUCGGGCACAAGGAGGGAUACACCCUGAACAGGAUGCCAAUCCCUUUUAAAAACCACAUGCCUUUAAAACCACAAUAAACAGCUGUGAUUUGGACAGAAGGGACUACAAAGACCAUCAGAGCAGCUACGUCUAUAGAGGCUGAAUCCCCACAACAAUGUAGAGUAGGAUUUGUACAGUUUAUUCUGGAAGAUGGGAGACAGUGGGAGACAGUUCAGUGUAAAUAGUUCUUUGUCAAAGCCAUGGGACAAAGGACACCAUACAUAACAUACAUCAGAACUGAAUACAGACUCUUUUAAAACCGUUUUCUUUUCCUCCAGGUUUAAUGGUACAACAAUUGAGGCUAAUUCCGAAUACAUCUUUGUGGAAGGUGAAACCAAGUGGACACCAAGUGGAUUUCUUUCUGCAAUACUCAACAUUAGUGGUUUGUCGACCUUCACCACUCCUGCUGCUCAAACCGAACCCCCUGUCCAUGUAGUCCUGAGGCCCACAUUGCAAGCACACAGCAACACCACCACCACUGGAGGAAAUUCUGCAUGGAUCCUGGGAAUCAUUAUCCUCUGCAGUAUAGUCAUUAUUCUAAUACCAUGCUGGAUUCUACUCUGUUGUCUGCUGUGUGGUUGCUGGGCUGGUUUAAGGAGACGCUACAACAGAAGACGGUCCUACAAUGUCCAAUACACAACAUGAAAUGGACUCUUUUAAAAACAGUUAGAGUGUAAAAUAAUCUCUAACUCCAUUAGACUCUAUUUUAUUAAAUAGUUUUUUUUUAUCUGUUUCAUUAUGUAGUUUAUUUUUUAUUUGUUUACCUAUUUAAUUAUUUCAUCAAUUUAAGUCUAUUUUAUUUAAUCUUUGUACAUAGUUAAUUUUAUUUCAACUAUAUACAUAAAAAUGAAGCUACAUAUGGUCUAUUAAAGUGAAUUAUUAAACAGGAUAAUGUAUAUAUCCUGUCCAAACUAAUGUUCUGUUAUGUUGUAAUUUAACUUAUUUAUUAAUUUAACUUAUUUAUUAAAGCUAUUUAUAAUAAAGUUUGUCAAAUAUUGCUUGCUCAAUUGAGAUUAAUCCACACAAUUAAAAUCUGUAUCCUGUGUUUAUAUUUUUCUGAAAAGCUGCUGAGACAGACCGUUGUAAAAAGCGCUAUACAAAUAAAAUUGAAUUGAAAUGUCUAUGAAUGUCCUGUGUUUCACCCCUGAUUAUGUUUGUCAUUUAAACCCCUCGUGUAUCUUUGCACAUCGCGUAGUAUUGCGUGUAUUGUCCUUACCAAGCGGUUACUCCUUGUUUCUCAUUUUUGAUUCCUGUUUAUUGACUUUGUUUCUCGUUUGCCGUUCUGGAUUCUAGCCUUGCCCAGUUUAUGCCUGUUUGUAGAUCGCUUGACCCCUUGCCUGAUUUGACCAUGCUCUUGUAUCAUGAUUUGGAUUUGUUUGCAUGUCUCUCUCAGAUAAAAGUCUUUAAUUACACUUGAAUCCGUCCUAACCUCCAUUACAAGGAUUAUGUGACAGCAGACAAAAGCAUGCAA